rnacentral:lncRNA from 1 species
ACAGUUUGGUUGUCAAAUGGUUUCAGAGUGUAUAAUUGAUUUUUUUUUAAUGUUAAAUUGUUUGAAUCUAAAGUACAGCACUAUAACAUGCUUUAGCUUGGUGGGGGGAGGGGGGUACUGGGGGACUGCACUUAUUCUUUAAAAUGUUGACUAAUCCAAAAGCCUGAUACAACAUAACCUGGAAAACUGCCUUGGUAUAUUGUAGAAAUCUGUAGAAAUAACAUAUCCAGCCUCAAAGCAUUAAUCUCAAAAAGAAAAAGAAAAAAAAAAAAACAGCCAGAAAAAGCAUCACCUCAAGUGAUCCUGUGAUGGUUGUUGAAUGUGUUCUCAUUAGAUGCUUUGAAAUGAGGCUUAAAAUAAUUUUUCUAGGCAAUAUAGUUUCUUUUUUUGCUUAGAAUGUCAUCCAUACAUGUGAACACGUUUAAUGCAGGGCUUUUUAUCCUCUCCAAAAUGUCAACAGUAUUUUCAGAAUAAAGCCUAUGAAAUAUAUUGCUGUAGUGGAAAAUUCUGGUCCUUUGUCUUUAAUGUCUUUUUGAGUGGAUAAAGAAAAUUCACCCGGUUUGUAGUUUCUAUAUUUCCGUGAAUCUUUUGACCUUGCAAUGGGUUGCAAUAAAAGAGAAACAAAGCA